UACAGAGGGGGCAAGCGUUGUUCGGAAUUACUGGGCGUAAAGGGCGCGUAGGCGGCCGCCUAAGUCAGACGUGAAAUCCCUCGGCUCAACCGGGGAACUGCGUCUGAUACUGGAUGGCUGGAGGUUGGGAGAGGGAUGCGGAAUUCCAGGUGUAGCGGUGAAAUGCGUAGAUAUCUGGAGGAACACCGGUGGCGAAGGCGGGUCUCUGGGCCGAUACUGACGCUGAGGAGCGAAAGCGUGGGGAGCGAACAGG
rnacentral:rRNA from 1 species